UACGUAGGGCGCAAGCGUUGUCCGGAAUUAUUGGGCGUAAAGAGCUCGUAGGUGGUUUGUCGCGUCUGCCGUGAAAGCCCGGGGCUUAACUCCGGGUCUGCGGUGGAUACGGGCAGACUAGAGGCAGGUAGGGGAGAACGGAAUUCCCGGUGUAGCGGUGAAAUGCGCAGAUAUCGGGAGGAACACCGGUGGCGAAGGCGGUUCUCUGGGCCUGUACUGACGCUGAUGCGCGAAAGCGUGGGGAGCAAACGGG
rnacentral:rRNA from 1 species